UACAGAGGUGCCAAGCGUUAGGCGGAAUCACUGGGCUUAAAGCGCGUGUAGGUGGGUCGUUAAGUGUCCGCGUGAAAUCCCACGGCUCAACCGUGGAACUGCUGGGCAUACUGCGGGUCUUGGGCCAACUAGGGGCAGCCGGAACAAGCGGUGGAGCGGUGAAAUGCGUAGAUAUCGCUUGGAACGCCGAAGGUGAAAACAGGCUGCUGGGGUUGCGCCGACGCUGAGACACGAAAGCCAGGGGAGCAGACGGG
rnacentral:rRNA from 1 species